UAAUUAAUUUUACGAAAGGUUCGUAUUGGGCUUUUAAGUUGGUUUUGGGCUUCGGGGCUCAAAAGCGUUUUAGUCCACAAGGCCCAUUAUGUUUAAGUUGUAUGACAACUAAAACUAAAUGGGCAAUUAGCCCAAUAACAAAGGUAAGGCCGGCCAUAAGGGUGAGGGUUGCAAACUUGGAUUAAUUACAAGUUUGCCACUCACUUGAAAUGAAGUAUAAAAUCAACUUUAUAGCUUU
rnacentral:lncRNA from 1 species